UACGUAGGGGCCUAGCGUUGUCCGGAUUUAUUGGGCGUAAAGAGCUCGUAGGCGGUUCGGCAAGUCGGAUGUGAAAUCUCCACGCUCAACGUGGAGGGGCCAUUCGAAACUGCUGUGACUUGAGUCCGGUAGGGGGGUGUGGAAUUCCUGGUGUAGCGGUGAAAUGCGCAGAUAUCAGGAAGAACACCCGUGGCGAAGGCGGCUCACUGGCCCGGUACUGACGCUGAGGUGCGAAAGCGUGGGGAGCAAACAGG
rnacentral:rRNA from 1 species